AUGCUCAAAUGCUUUUGAGUGCCCACAAUAUGCGUAAGAGUGGGUACAAAUUAAGAGAAAAGUUAAUAAGGGAGUAUGGAGAAAAUGAGGCAUUUGGAUGGUCAUAUAAUUUGAUAUGACUGCUAAUGUAGUCCAAGGUUUGCGAUAUUUGAUAGGCGGGUCACCGUGAUCGCGCUUAAUGGCAUGAGAUCACGAAAACUAAGGGCAUUUCUGCACCUUUAUUUUCCUCUUUUUAGUCUUUUCACUAUUUUGAGUCACUUUCCCUUGUUCAGUUCAAUCAUCAUAAAAUUUCACACUUUCUCCGUCUCAACUUAUUCAAAAAUACAUGCCUCCCACACAGUGCCUUAGUUAUCAUCGUGGUACGAUGUCAUUCAUUUUUUUCAAGUUGAAUAUUUGAGGAACCCAUAAUUCACUUCCUCACUACAAACAUUGAUCACCAAUAACAC
rnacentral:lncRNA from 1 species